UUGCUUGCCCCUUGUGAUUCCUCAUUAUGGGGAGAGAGUAGGGGGCUUAGAAGGAGGGUUUUAAAGCAACUUUUUCUUGGCAAAGAAUACACCAAAGAUGGAUCUAGAAUUUGAAGUCAAUUUGUACUAUUUUAUUGGAUUGUUGGAUCUAUAUCUUUGCAUAAAAAGUGUUAAUUGGGAGAUUUGAAUGAAGUUGAGAACAAAAAGGAUCAAAAGAUCAAGAAAACAUGGGUUUGGAAGAAUUGGAAGGGCUUAUUAUUUCAUGGCAACAAUGGUGAAGAGGGCCUAAGCUGCAAGAAAUAUGUAUCAAAAUUGUCCUUGGCCUAACACCUAAAAGAACACCCAAGGACAAUAGCAACAACCAAA